AAUAUUCCGCAAUGGGCGAAAGCCUGACGGAGCAAUGCCGCGUGUGGGAUCAAGCGCCUUCGACGUGUAAACCACUGUCAGGAUCUAGGAACACUGACCAGAUCCAAAGGAAGGGCCGGCUAAUUCCGUGCCAGCAGCCGCGGUAAUACGGAAGGCCCGAGCGUUAAUCGGAAUCACUGGGCUUAAAGGGUGCGCAGGCGGACCCGUAAGCAUGUCGUGAAAGCCCCCGGCUCAACCGGGGAACUGCGAUGUGAACUGCGGGUCUUGAGGCAGGUAGGGGCGAGUGGAACCAUGGGUGGAGCGGUGAAAUGCGUAGAUAUCCAUGGGAACGCCAAUGGCGAAGGCAGCUCGCUGGGCCUGUCCUGACGCUCAGGCACGAAAGCGUGGGGAGCGAACGGGAUUAGAUACCCCGGUAGUCCACGCCGUA
rnacentral:rRNA from 1 species